GACAGAGGGUGCAAACGUUGUUCGGAAUUACUGGGCGUAAAGCGCGUGUAGGCGGCACGGCAUGUCGGAUGUGAAAUCCCAUGGCUCAGCCAUGGAAGUGCACCCGAAACUGCCGAGCUGGAGUCUCGGAGAGGAAGGCGGAAUGCUUGGUGUAGAGGUGAGAUUCGUAGAUAUCAAGCGGAACACCGGUGGCGAAGGCGGCCUUCUGGACGAUGACUGACGCUGAGACGCGAAAGCGUGGGGAGCAAACAGG
rnacentral:rRNA from 1 species